UUGCUCACAAGAAAGCUUAUCCUGCCAUGUGGCUGUGAUAAAUACUGUGGAAGCGUGAGCUAGAUCAUGGUAUUGCUUUGGGAGCGUCCAUUCCAGUUCAUAUGAGGCGCUACAGUUUUCAAUACAACA
rnacentral:snoRNA from 1 species